GACGAACGCUGGCGGCGUGCUUAACACAUGCAAGUCGAACGCUGAAGCUCAGCUUUUGUUGGGUGGAUGAGUGGCGAACGGGUGAGUAACACGUGAGUAACCUGCCCCCUUCUUUGGGAUAACGCCCGGAAACGGGUGCUAAUACUGGAUAUUCACUGGUCUUCGCAUGGGGGUUGGUGGAAAGGGUUUUUCUGGUGGGGGAUGGGCUCGCGGCCUAUCAGCUUGUUGGUGGGGUGAUGGCCUACCAGGGCUUUGACGGGUAGCCGGCCUGAGAGGGUGACCGGUCACAUUGGGACUGAGAUACGGCCCAGACUCCUACGGGAGGCAGCAGUGGGGAAUAUUGCGCAAUGGGCGCAAGCCUGAUGCAGCGACGCGGCGUGAGGGAUGGAGGCCUUCGGGUUGUGAACCUCUUUGGCUAAUGGUCAAGCCGCAACAAUGGUUGUGGUGAGGGUAGUGGGUAAAGAAGCGCCGGCUAACUACGUG
rnacentral:rRNA from 1 species